UACAGAGGGGGCAAGCGUUGUUCGGAAUUACUGGGCGUAAAGGGCGCGUAGGCGGCCUACUAAGUCAGACGUGAAAUCCCCCGGCUUAACCUGGGAACUGCGUCUGAUACUGGAAGGCUUGAGUAUGGGAGAGGGAUGUAGAAUUUCAGGUGUAGCGGUGAAAUGCGUAGAUAUCUGGAGGAAUACCGGUGGCGAAGGCGGCAUCCUGGACCAUUACUGACGCUGAGGCGCGAAAGCUAGGGGAGCAAACGGG
rnacentral:rRNA from 1 species